GAUGAACGCUGGCGGCGUGCCUAAUACAUGCCAGUCGAGCGAACAGACGAGGAGCUUGCUCCUCUGACGUUAGCGGCGGACGGGUGAGUAACACGUGGAUAACCUACCUAUAAGACUGGGAUAACUUCGGGAAACCGGAGCUAAUACCGGAUAAUAUAUUGAACCGCAUGGUUCAAUAGUGAAAGACGGUUUUGCUGUCACUUAUAGAUGGAUCCGCGCCGCAUUAGCUAGUUGGUAAGGUAACGGCUUACCAAGGCAACGAUGCGUAGCCGACCUGAGAGGGUGAUCGGCCACACUGGAACUGAGACACGGUCCAGACUCCUACGGGAGGCAGCAGUAGGGAAUCUUCCGCAAUGGGCGAAAGCCUGACGGAGCAACGCCGCGUGAGUGAUGAAGGUCUUCGGAUCGUAAAACUCUGUUAUUAGGGAAGAACAAAUGUGUAAGUAACUAUGCACGUCUUGACGGUACCUAAUCAGAAAGCCACAGCUAACUACGUG
rnacentral:rRNA from 1 species